GACGAACGCUGGCGGCGUGCUUAACACAUGCAAGUCGAACGGAAAGGCCCUGCUUUUGUGGGGUGCUCGAGUGGCGAACGGGUGAGUAACACGUGAGUAACCUGCCCUUGACUUUGGGAUAACUUCAGGAAACUGGGGCUAAUACCGGAUAGGAGCUCCUGCUGCAUGGUGGGGGUUGGAAAGUUUCGGCGGUUGGGGAUGGACUCGCGGCUCAUCAGCUUGUUGGUGGGGUAGUGGCUUACCAAGGCUUUGACGGGUAGCCGGCCUGAGAGGGUGACCGGCCACAUUGGGACUGAGAUACGGCCCAGACUCCUACGGGAGGCAGCAGUGGGGAAUAUUGCACAAUGGGCGGAAGCCUGAUGCAGCAACGCCGCGUGCGGGAUGACGGCCUUCGGGUUGUAAACCGCUUUCGCCUGUGACGAAGCGUGAGUGACGGUAAUGGGGAAAGAAGCACCGGCUAACUACGU
rnacentral:rRNA from 1 species